CACAGAUCUGUCUGGCUCAAGUGUAGCAGUCGCAGUCUUUUACUAUGUUUGCCUACUUAGCACCACUGAGUGAUGCUUGUUAGGGGCUCCUCCUUUGGGCUGAGGCUGAGUGAGUCCAAUACUUCUUCCAGAGAGGAGAGAGAAGAUGUUUCGUCUCUCACUGAAAGCAGUGGGAAUCAGAGCAGCUCUCCUGAAGUCACCUUCCUGUCUGUUGCAAUGAUCAGCAGAAGAACAAGAGUGGAUUUCAAAAAGACUGCUGGCAUAUGGGCAACACAAAAGAAGCUGCACAUUCUGACACUCCUAAAGAAAGAGGCAAGAGGUUCAAUGGUUUCUUUAUAAAUCUCACAGCUGUAUCACUAAGGUGUUAAUAUUUUCACUCCUGCCAUCUAAGCAAAGCCUUAAUUAUCUGGGAGGAGAAGGAAAAAAUCCACUUUUUUCACCAACUGCAGUGAUCUGCU
rnacentral:lncRNA from 1 species